rnacentral:rRNA from 1 species
CUUCUCAGCAAGUGGUUUUAUAAACUACUCACUGAGAAUGGAGUAUGGCAGGAAAUCAUUCUCAACAAGUAUGUGGGAUCCAACACCAUUUCUCAACUAAAUGAAAAACCUGGGGAUUCACAUUUUUGGAGUGGUGUCAUGAAGGCCAAGAAAUUCUUCUUUCAAUUUGAGACCUUCUCGGUUAGGGACGGCUCUCAGGUUCGUUUCUAGGAAGAUACCUGGCUAGGGAAC